UGGGGAAUAUUGCACAAUGGAGGGAACUCUGAUGCAGCGACGCCGCGUGAACGAAGAAGGCUUUCGAGUCGUAAAGUUCUUUUAUAUGGGAAGAUAAUGACGGUACCAUAAGAAAAAGCCCCGGCUAACUACGUGCCAGCAGCCGCGGUAAUACGUAGGGGGCUAGCGUUGUCCUGAAUCACUGGGCGUAAAGGGUUCGCAGGCGGAAAUGCAAGUCAGGUGUAAAAGGCAGUAGCUUAACUACUGUAAGCAUUUGAAACUGAAUAUCUUGAGAAGAGUAGAGGUAAGUGGAAUUUGUAGUGUAGCGGUGAAAUGCGUAGAUAUUAAAAAGAAUACCGGUGGCGAAGGCGGCUUACUGGGCUCAUUCUGACGCUGAGGAACGAAAGCGUGGGUAGCAAACAGG
rnacentral:rRNA from 1 species